rnacentral:rRNA from 1 species
CCUACGGGAGGCUGCAGUGGGGAAUAUUGGACAAUGGGCGAAAGCCUUAUCCAGCCAUGCCGCGUGUGUGAAGAAGGCCUUCGGGUUGUAAAGCACUUUCAGUGGGGAAGAAAGCCUUGGGGCUAAUACCCUCGAGGAAGGACAUCACCCACAGAAGAAGCACCGGCUAACUCCGUGCCAGCAGCCGCGGUAAUACGGAGGGUGCGAGCGUUAAUCGGAAUUACUGGGCGUAAAGCGCGCGUAGGCGGUCUGAUAAGCCGGUUGUGAAAGCCCCGGGCUCAACCUGGGAACGGCAUCCGGAACUGUCAGGCUAGAGUGCAGGAGAGGAAGGUAGAAUUCCCGGUGUAGCGGUGAAAUGCGUAGAGAUCGGGAGGAAUACCAGUGGCGAAGGCGGCCUUCUGGACUGACACUGACGCUGAGGUGCGAAAGCGUGGGUAGCAAACAGGAUUAGAUACCCGUGUAGUC